rnacentral:rRNA from 1 species
AUGAGGUUGGUGGCCUUUCGCCCUGGAAGGAGAAAAGGAUGUCUCCUACGCUCUCAGAAACUGCUCGCCUUUCUGGCUUUUUCUCUAACUGCUGUUUGUUCUUUCCUUGUCGUCCCUUUUUUUUCCCUGUUCGCGGCAGUCUGCACAGCAAAAACAAUCGUAUUUGUUGAAAAUGAAGCCCGGAUUACCUCAAACCAAUCCUCCUGGCAACAUCUCGUGGUCAGCUCCAGGCAAAUAAGCCGUGACAUUUGCGCAAAUCGGAACUUACACGCCACUCGUAUCAAAUUACCAUACUUCCUCUGA